GAAAUGUAAAAACAAGGCAAGAGAAUUGAGCUAAGACACAACUAAACAUACUAACUACAUUUCCGGCCAUUAACUAAUAUUCAAAUUUGAACUAUAACUAACAUAACUAACUUUCAAAUGAACUAUUCUACAAUUGUGGCUUCUUCAUAGACUCAUGCUGGGUUUUGUGUAUCAAUACCCCCCUGUGGAAGAACACCCUUGUCCUCAAGGAUGAAAGAAGGGAACUUGUCCGAAGGAGGGAAGCAAAUGCCCAAGUAGCGGCAUCAACAUCCAAACCUUGCCAUUUAACCAAGCACUAGGCCACUGCCUUGUUACCCUUUUUGACUAACCUACGAUCAAGUAUAGCUUCAGGUGUAGGGCAUAGGGGGCUAGAAAGAUCUAGGGUAGAAGGAUGGAUGAUUUCAGAAGGUAAGAUAACGCAGAACUUGAGCUGGGAAAUAUGGAAAGUGGGGUGGAUU
rnacentral:lncRNA from 1 species